rnacentral:rRNA from 1 species
UAACUGUACAAAGGUAGCGAAAUCACAUGCCUGAUAAUUGCGGGAUUGUGUGAAAGGUUUAUUAUGAUAUAAAUAAUGUUUUAUAAAAUUUUUAACUAAAAAUUUAAUGAACAGUAUAGAUUCUGUUUGAAAAAUUAAGACGAAAAGACCCUACAGAGUUUUUAUUUAAUUUAUAAUAAUUUAUAUAUUAAAUUUUAGGUGGGGAAUCUAGUUUUAAAACAAAAUAUUAUUUAAAAAAUAAAACUUCCUUAGGGAUAACAGGGUAAUAAAAUUUUAAAGUUCCUAUUGAAAAUUUUGUUUACUACCUCGAUGUUGAAUUAUAAUAAAAAUUAAAUGUAGAAAUUUAUGAUUUUAGUCUGUUCGACUAUUAAAAUUAUUCAUGAUUUGA